UACGUAGGGGGGCAAGCGUUGUCCGGAUUUAUUGGGCGUAAAGAGCGUGUAGGCGGCCAGGUAGGUGGGUUGUGAAAACUGGAGGCUCAACCUUCAGACGUCGACCCAAACCCCCUGGCUAGAGUCCGGAAGAGGAGAGUGGAAUUCCUGGUGUAGCGGUGAAUGCGCAGAUAUCGGGAGGAACACCAGUAGCGAAGGCGGCUCGCUGGGCCAUUCCUGACGCUGAGACGCGAAAGCGUGGGGAGCAAACAGG
rnacentral:rRNA from 1 species